rnacentral:rRNA from 1 species
GAUGAACGCUGGCGGCGUGCCUAAUACAUGCAAGUCGAGCGAACAGACGAGGAGCUUGCUCCUCUGACGUUAGCGGCGGACGGGUGAGUAACACGUGGAUAACCUACCUAUAAGACUGGGAUAACUUCGGGAAACCGGAGCUAAUACCGGAUAAUAUAUUGAACCGCAUGGUUCAAUAGUGAAAGACGGUUUUGCUGUCACUUAUAGAUGGAUCCGCGCCGCAUUAGCUAGUUGGUAAGGUAACGGCUUACCAAGGCAACGAUGCGUAGCCGACCUGAGAGGGUGAUCGGCCACACUGGAACUGAGACACGGUCCAGACUCCUACGGGAGGCAGCAGUAGGGAAUAUUCCGCAAUGGGCGAAAGCCUGACGGAGCAACGCCGCGUGAGUGAUGAAGGUCUUCGGAUCGUAAAACUCUGUUAGUAGGGAAGAACAAAUGUGUGUGUAACUAUGCACGUCUUGACGGUACCUAAUCAGAAAGCCACGGCUAACUACGUG